UUUACUCUGAUGUAUGCUUGUAAACCCCCUCCUCAUUCUUCACUUAAAGUCAAACAACCCAGCUGUGAACAUGAUGCUGUGAGAUGAAGGACAACUGACUAUCACCAUUCUCUCCCCACCCUGACCUUCUCAUCCAUAAGCUGAAGACAGGAUAUACUGGUGUAGCUGGGGGCACUACUACCCUGGAAUCACUUUAAUCUAUAAUUUUGACCUUGGAAUUUCCAGCCACAUACGUAGUUUGAACUACAGCCAUCAACCUGCACAGGUAUGGCAUUAGGCAUUUCAGUCAGAGAAUGUAUUGCCACUGCAAAAUUUGAAGGAUUAGAUGAAUGCAGGUUUUCAAACCUGUGUUUCUAAAAAUGGGACAAGAAU